GAUGACCUUAGCAUCUAUAAUCUUUUGCGCCUGAAUAUAUAGACCUAUGGAUUCCUUCCAUUCUAAUAGUGUCAGCCACAUUAAUCACCAAGGAUAUAUGGGCUUAUGGAUCUCUAUUCCCAUGUGAAUCAAAAUUUGCUCUGCGGCACACAAAAAUCGCGACCAAAAACUACGGUUAUAGGCUGUUGCAUUAGUCCUGUACAGUCAAAACUGUGUCAAACCGUGCCCGAGAGCAGCAUCAGACCGAACACUCAAAACAUAGCCAAGUCCGGAGUUCCAGAUCUGACCCGGUUCGUUUGGGGCUCGAGUUGCGUACUGUUUGGCGUCGCCUCAGCAUUUCGUCGAACGCCUUUCGUUUCUUCUGUCAAUCGCCGGGCUGAUUCGUUCUUUUCCCGACGAUGACGAUGACGAUGACGAUGACGAUGGGAGCCGCUCUUCUCAAACGAAUCCUCUGUCGCCCUGCUCCUCCGCUCGCCAUCUUUUUCCGUUCUUCAUUCUCGUCCUAUACGACCCCAGAAGCGACUCGGCUCCUCAAAGUCGGCGAUGUACUGAGGGAAUCGAGGCGGUUCUCCGAGUCGGACGUGGCGCGGUACUCGGAGGUGAGCGGCGACCGCAACCCCGUCCAUCUUGAUGCCGAUUUCGCCCGGAGAAUCGCUGGUUUCGAUGGCGGCAGAGUCGUCCACGGCAUGCUCGUCGCAUCACUCUUCCCAUCCGUCAUUGCCUCCCAUUUUCCUGGAGCAGUAUACAUUGCUCAGACUUUGAAGUUUAAAUUGCCCGUCUAUAUUGAAGAUGAGGUUGUUGCUGAAGUACAAGCAACACAUGUGAGAGAAAACAAGAAAAGAUACAUUGUUAAGUUUGCAACAAAAUGCUUUGUGGAUAAGAAAUCUCUUGUCCUUGAUGGUGAAGCCACAGCCAUAUUACCAACAUUAGCACUGAACAAAUGACAAGCAUUCAAUUUUACAGGCCUAUCUCUGUCCAAAAUUUGUGAUAGUUUCACGUCAUUAGUUCUCUGGUGUACAUGCAGGAAGAUGAAAAACUAUUGUGAUGUCAGUAUGUGGAUGCUCGCGAUGGUGCUCUAGAUGGCAAGAUCAUGUUCAACAAUAUAGAACAGAUUGGCGGAGUUUUUCAUCAGCAUCUGAUGAGGCAGCAGGUCUUCACAAGAGGCAGUCUGGAAUCAAUUGAUUGGGCAACCAGCCAGGAUUGGGUCAUCUUUUAUCUUUAUGCUUUUUCUAAUUAACCACCAGUCUUUACCAGUUACGCAAUAUAAACAUUGUAGCAUAAUUCAUGUUCAUUUGUUUUAUUGAUUUGUUUCUCUGCAUUAUAUUA